rfam:Solanum lycopersicum cultivar Heinz 1706 chromosome 4, whole genome shotgun sequence.
UUACCUUUCGGGCCAUCUGAUAAAAUUAGAACGAUACAUAGAAGAUUAGUAUGGUCCAUGUGCAAGAAUUACAUGCACAAAACUAGAAAUUAUCCAAGUUUUU